GACGAACGCUGGCGGCGUGCCUAAUACAUGCAAGUAGAACGCUGAAGGAGGAGCUUGCUUCUCUGGUUGAGUUGCGAACGGGUGAGUAACGCGUAGGUAACCUGCCUGGUAGCGGGGGAUAACUAUUGGAAACGAUAGCUAAUACCGCAUAAGAGUAGAUGUUGCAUGACAUUUACUUAAAAGGUGCAAUUGCAUCACUACCAGAUGGACCUGCGUUGUAUUAGCUAGUUGGUGAGGUAACGGCUCACCAAGGCAACGAUACAUAGCCGACCUGAGAGGGGGAUCGGCCACACUGGGACUGAGACACGGCCCAGACUCCUACGGGAGGCAGCAGUAGGGAAUCUUCGGAAAUGGACGGAAGUCUGACCGAGCAACGCCGCGUGAGUGAAGAAGGUUUUCGGAUCGUAAAGCUCUGUUGUAAGAGAAGAACGAGUGUGAGAGUGGAAAGUUCACACUGUGACGGUAUCUUACCAGAAAGGGACGGCUAACUACGUG
rnacentral:rRNA from 1 species